rnacentral:rRNA from 1 species
CUACCCUUGACAUGUAUGGAACCCUGCUGAAAGGUGGGGGUGCCCGAAAGGGAGCCAUAACACAGGUGCUGCAUGGCUGUCGUCAGCUCGUGUCGUGAGAUGUUGGGUUAAGUCCCGCAACGAGCGCAACCCUUGUCCCUAGUUGCUACGCAAGAGCACUCUAGGGAGACUGCCGGUGACAAACCGGAGGAAGGUGGGGAUGACGUCAAGUCCUCAUGGCCCUUAUGGGUAGGGCUUCACACGUCAUACAAUGGUCGGAACAGAGGGUCGCCAACCCGCGAGGGGGAGCCAAUCCCAGAAAACCGAUCGUAGUCCGGAUCGCACUCUGCAACUCGAGUGCGUGAAGCUGGAAUCGCUAGUAAUCGCGGAUCAGCAUGCCGCGGUGAAUACGUUCCC